AAAAAAAUUAUUAUCUUAUUAAUUUAUCGAUUUUUGUCACUUUUUAUACUGGUCUCAACUCAGAACCGGAAGAAUUUAUUAAUUUAUAGAGGUUAUUAAUUUAUAGAGUAUUAAUUUAUAGAGGUUAUAUUGUAUAAGGUUUUACGGAUUUAUUCCA
rnacentral:sRNA from 1 species